rnacentral:rRNA from 1 species
UACGUAGGCAGCAAGCGUUGUUCGGAGUUACUGGGCGUAAAGGGUGUGUAGGCGGCCUUCUAAGUUUGGUGUGAAAUCUCCCGGCUCAACUGGGAGGGUGCGCCGAAAACUGGAGGGCUUGAGUAUGGGAGAGGCAAGCGGAAUUCCUGGUGUAGCGGUGAAAUGCGUAGAUAUCAGGAGGAACACCUGUGGUGUAGACAGCUUGCUGGACCAUA